UUGGAGGGCAAGUCUGGUGCCAGCAGCCGCGGUAAUUCCAGCUCCAAUAGCGUAUAUUAAAGUUGUUGCAGUUAAAAAGUUCGUAGUUGAACUUCGGGGUCUACCCAUUGGUCAGGCUUAAUUGUCUGUACUGGUGAGAUGGAUCUCUACCUUCUGAGGAACUUUCAUGCCAUUUAUUUAGUGUGAUUGGAAAUCAGGACUGUUACUUUGAAAAAAUUAGAGUGUUUAAAGCAGGCUAACGUCUGAAUACAUUAGCAUGGAAUAAUGAAAUAGGACGGACUGAUUCUAUUUCGUUGGUUUCUAGGAUCACCGUAAUGAUUAAUAGGGAUAGUUGGGGGCAUUAGUAUUCAAUUGUCAGAGGUGAAAUUCUUGGAUUUAUUGAAGACUAACUACUGCGAAAGCAUUUGCCAAGGAUGUUUUCAUUAAUCAAGAACGAAAGUUAGGGGAUCGAAGACGAUCAGAUACCGUCGUAGUCUUACCAUAAACUAUGCCGACUAGGGAUCGGACGAAGUUAAUUUUAUAAUGACGCGUUCGGCGCCUUACGGGAAAC
rnacentral:rRNA from 1 species